UGAGUGGAUGGGAGCAACCUAGUUGUGCGUGUGUAAAGGUAGUGCCAAGAAAAGCGAUGAUCAUGUUGAAAAUCAAUUCCCGGUACCCGAAACCGACACAGGUGGGCAAGUAGAGAAUACUAAGGGGCGCGAGGUAACUCUCUCCAAGGAACUCGGCAAAAUGACCCCGUAACUUAGGGAGAAGGGGUGCCACCGAGAGGUGGUCGCAGUGAAGAGGCCCAGGCGACUGUUUAGCAAAAACAUAGGUCUCUGCAAACUCGAAAGAGGAGGUAUAGGGGCUGACGCCUGCCCAGUGCCGGAAGGUUAAAGAAGUUGGUCAGUUUUAGGAUGAAGCUAGCGACUGAAGCCCCGGUGAACGGCGGCCGUAACUAUAACGGUCCUAAGGUAGCGAAAUUCCUUGUCGGGUAAGUUCCGACCCGCACGAAAGGCGUAACGAUCUGGGCGCUGUCUCGGAGAGAGGCUCGGCGAAAUAGGAUUGUCUGUGAAGAUACGGACUACCUGCAUUUGGACAGAAAGACCCUAUGAAGCUUUACUAUAGCUUGGAAUUGUGUUCGGGCUUCCUGUGCGCAGGAUAGGUGGGAGGCGUAGAAGGUAUUCUUGUGGGGAUACUGGAGCCAACGGUGAGAUACCACUCUCAGGAGGCUAGAAUUCUAACUUAAUUAAGGACAGUUCCAGGUGGGUAGUUUGACUGGGGCGGUCGCCUCCAAAAAGGUAACGGAGGCGUACAAAGGUUCCCUCAGACUGGUUGGAAAUCAGUCGAAGAGUGCAAAGGCAGAAGGGAGCUUGACUGCGAGAAGUACAGUUCGAGCAGGGUGGAAACACGGUCUUAGUGAUCCGACGGUGCUGUGUGGAAGGGCCGUCGCUCAACGGAUAAAAGUUACUCUAGGAUAACAGGCUGAUCUCCCCCAAGAGUUCACAUCGACGGGGAGGUUUGGCACCUCGAUGUCGGCUCAUCGCAACCUGGGGCGGAAGUACGUCCCAAGGGUUGGGCUGUUCGCCCAUUAAAGCGGUACGUGAGCUGGGUUCAGAACGUCGUGAGACAGUUCGGUCCAUAUCCGAUGUAGGCGUGAGAAUAUUGAGAGGAGCCUUCCUUAGUACGAGAGGACCGGGAAGGACGCACCGCUGGUGUACCUGUUAUGAUGCCAAUUGUAAACGCAGGGUAGCCAAGUGCGGAGAGGAUAACCGCUGAAAGCAUCUAAGUGGGAAGCCCACCUCAAGAUGAGUAUUCUGGUGUAAGGUCACGGGAAGACGACCCGUAAAUAGGCACGAGGUGGAAGUGCAGAGAUGUAUGAAGCCGAAGUGUACUAAUAGACCGUCGGCUUGACC
rnacentral:rRNA from 1 species